CUCUCUCUCCAAGACACCAUUCUUCCUUUUCUUAUCUGGUGUUAAAACAGCAACUCCUGGAGCCAUGUGAUCACAUGGGACUCUCUGAGGGUGGCGUCUCCUUGCUGGGGGGAGCAGAUAGGAAGCAUUCGACAUGGAUAGUGUUGUGGGAGAGCGCAUCAAGGAACCCAAGAGCAUGCCAAGACUGAGUUGACCCCUGGUCUGUCAGACGAGGUUCUAAUUAAAAGAAAGAAAGAUGUAAAACAAGAAUGCCCAAAAUAGCUCCCUGAAAAGGUCAGGUGCUCCGCUAGUCAAUACUUUUACCAAAAUUAUACUCCAGCUGAGAUCUCCUAUGACGAUGACCUUCAGCAGCCUGGAGAUAAUAGCAGAGGGGACGUAUGAACAGCUGGGGAGAAAAUCCCCCCCCCCCCAUUUCCCAUUUUAAAAAAAUAAACAGCUAGAGAAGAGAGGAACAU